AUUGAACGCUGGCGGCAUGCCUUACACAUGCAAGUCGAACGGUAACAGGUCUUCGGAUGCUGACGAGUGGCGAACGGGUGAGUAAUACAUCGGAACGUGCCUAGUAGUGGGGGAUAACUGCUCGAAAGAGUGGCUAAUAUCGCAUGAGAUCUACGGAUGAAAGCAGGGGAUCGCAAGACCUUGUGCUACUAGAGCGGCCGAUGGCAGAUUAGGUAGUUGGUGGGAUAAAAGCUUACCAAGCCGACGAUCUGUAGCUGGUCAGAGAGGACGAUCAGCAACACUGGGAAUGUGACACGGCCCGGACUCCUGCGGGAGGCAGCAGUGGGGGAUUUUGGACAAUGGGCGCAAGCCUUAUCCAGCAAUGCCGCGUGCAGGAUGAAGGACUUCGGGUUGUAAACUGCUUUUGUACGGAACGAAAAGCCCUGGGUUAAUACCCUGGGGUCAUGACGGUACCGUAAGAAUAAGCACCGGCUAACUACGUGCCAGCCGCCGCCGUAACAC
rnacentral:rRNA from 1 species